rnacentral:misc_RNA from 1 species
AACGCAUAUUGCGCUCUUUGGUAUUCCGAAGAGCAUGCUUGUUUGAGUAUCAGUAAACACCUCAAAGCUUUUGGAUUUUUUUUUUUUUUUGAAAGCUUUGGACUUGAGCAAUCCCAACACCAAUCUUUUUCAGAUCGGCGGCGGGUUGCUUGAAAUGCAGGUGCAGCUGGACUUUCUCCUGAGCUAAAAGCAUAUUCAUUUAGUCCCGUCAAACGGAUUAUUACUUUUGCUGCAGCUAACAUAAAGGGAGUUUGACCGCAUUGGCUGACUGAUGCAGGAUUUCACAAGGGUCGGCAACGAUUCUUGUUAAACUCGAUCUCAAAUCAAGUAAGACUACCCGCUGAACUUAA